GUGCCAAGACUAUUUUUUCAUGUCCGUCUGAACUUGGCUUUCUUCAUUUCAAUCUUGUCUCUGGAACAAGCUUCGAGAUCACUGAAACUCAUCAAGCAAAUCAGAAAAAAAGGACUAAACCGCCAAACUACUUAACUCGUUUUGACUGGACGAGUCAUCGGUAGGGGUGGCUAGGGAGGAGUCGACUUUUACACCUUGACUUCAAAGAUUCACGACUUACUGAUACAACGCGAGCCAUUCUAAUAGUGACAAACAACAUAUUUAUCAAAGGAUAUGGCAGUUGGUAAAAAAAGUCUCCAAAAAAUCAGUCAUUGAAAUUGUGCACUUUUCCAGCUUCGUUAUUUAUUUGUUUGUAUAAAUUUGUCUUUGUUGCUGUGUUGUGACUAGGUUUGUCUAUGCCAUAUUUUAACAAAGACUAAUUGCCUGCUAAUCACAAAACACAAAGCUUCAGCGUUGCUCUUUGCCGAUGCAAGUUUGUCCGACUUGCAUUGGUGAUUACGAUUGCUUUCGGCACCAUGCUUGUUGUCCUUAUGCAAAUUUUAUCUUUUGGUUGAAUUGUUAUCAUUACAAAGCUGCGUAGGCAAUGUCACUGCAGAACAAUGCAUCCUCACCUGCAUGUCAGAAGUGACGCUAGAGCGGCAAUCUUUGACCACCAUCGGCAUGCAUGCAUCACUGAAGACAUUGCAACACAGUAUAGUCCAGGAAAAGUAUCUCUCUUGUGCAUAAUGCGGCUUUGGUGUUUUAUGCCAGGUACUUGCCGAAUCUGAUUGUAAAUGUACUUAUAAAACUUGCUUGUUUCUAUCAGUGUUUAUGUGAAUGUAUUCUUUAUCACUGUUGGUACAAAAUCUUCCUGGGAGAUGAGCUUCCAGAGUAUAGCUUCUCAAUUGCUUGUAUUAACUAAUUGGAAUCACCGCCUUCAUUAAGUAGUACUCUAGAAAAACCCAAGCCUUAAUGCACUACAGCAUCUCUAUUAUCGAUGAUAGGACAGCCUUUACCUUCACUUACUUUUACGUUAGAUUUAGUUUUGAAUAAUCUGUAGCCGUUUUCAUUGAACAUUAUGCUGUCUAAUAACAAAGGAAUUUUAAGCAAUGUAUACGAGGAACUACUUUUAAUACACCUAGAAAAUCAUAUAUGUACUUGUGAAUGACUAGUUGUUGAUGUAUGAUAUUACAGUAGACAUAUACUAA